rnacentral:rRNA from 1 species
UACGUAGGGGGCAAGCGUUGUCCGGAAUCAUUGAGCGUAAAGGGUGCGUAGGUGGGCAAGUAAGUCAGUGGUGAAAUCUCCGGGCUUAACCCGGAAACUGCCAUUGAUACUAUUUGUCUUGAAUACUGUGGAGGUCAGCGGAAUAUGUCAUGUAGCGGUGAAAUGCUUAGAUAUGACAUAGAACACCAAUUGCGAAGGCAGCUGGCUACACAAAUAUUGACACUGAGGCACGAAAGCGUGGGGAUCAAACAGG